GUCUGGUCAGCAGCUUUGGCAAUCUUGGACACAGAAGCAAACACUCCUGAGAUGGCAAAGGAGGAAAAAGCAAAGCAGGGGUCCAAUUGAGAAGGAACGUCUUGAAGUGACAAAGAACCCAUAUAAGUCCAGCCUAUAAGGUCUUCACCAGAGGCCCUGUUGUAUGACCCACAACCCUGAGAAGUGAGUUUGUACCCCGCCUCGAGCC